rnacentral:rRNA from 1 species
GAUGAACGCUGGCGGCGUGCUUAACACAUGCAAGUCGAACGGAAAGGCCCAAGCUUGCUUGGGUACUCGAGUGGCGAACGGGUGAGUAACACGUGGGUGAUCUGCCCUGCACUUCGGGAUAAGCCUGGGAAACUGGGUCUAAUACCGGAUAGGACCACUUCUUGGAUGUUGUGGUGGAAAGUUUUUUCGGUGUGGGAUGAGCUCGCGGCCUAUCAGCUUGUUGGUGGGGUAAUGGCCUACCAAGGCGUCGACGGGUAGCCGGCCUGAGAGGGUGUACGGCCACAUUGGGACUGAGCUACGGCCCAGACUCCUACGGGAGGCAGCAGUGGGGAAUAUUGCACAAUGGGCGCAAGCCUGAUGCAGCGACGCCGCGUGGGGGAUGACGGCCUUCGGGUUGUAAACUCCUUUCGCUAGGGACGAAGCGUUUUGUGACGGUACCUGGAGAAGAAGCACCGGCUAACUACGUG